GGGUUGUGAGGUUAAGCGACUAAGCGUACACGGUGGAUGCCCUGGCAGUCAGAGGCGAUGAAGGACGUGCUAAUCUGCGAUAAGCGUCGGUAAGGUGAUAUGAACCGUUAUAACCGGCGAUUUCCGAAUGGGGAAACCCAGUGUGUUUCGGCACACUAUCAUUAACUGAAUCCAUAGGUUAAUGAGGCGAACCGGGGGAACUGAAACAUCUAAGUACCCCGAGGAAAAGAAAUCAACCGAGAUUCCCCCAGUAGCGGCGAGCGAACGGGGAGGAGCCCAGAGCCUGAAUCAGUGUGUGUGUUAGUGGAAGCGUCUGGAAAGGCGCGCGAUACAGGGUGACAGCCCCGUACACAAAAAUGCACAUAUUGUGAGCUCGAUGAGUAGGGCGGGACACGUGGUAUCCUGUCUGAAUAUGGGGGGACCAUCCUCCAAGGCUAAAUACUCCUGACUGACCGAUAGUGAACCAGUACCGUGAGG
rnacentral:rRNA from 1 species